AAUUACAAUUUCCACCCGGGCGGCGGACUGAAUCCUUUGCAGACGACUUAAAUACGCGACGGGGUAUUGUAAGUGGCAGAGUGGCCUUGCUGCCACGAUCCACUGAGAUUCAGCCCUUCGUCGCUCCGAUUCGU
rnacentral:ncRNA from 1 species